GCGGAAGUAACUCAAUUGGUAGAGUGACAGCCUUCCAAGCUGUAGGUUGCGGGUUCGAGUCCCGUCCUCCGCU
rnacentral:tRNA from 1 species